GAAGUGGGGAAAUGUUCCAUGUGAAAAUCACUUGGACAUGGUCGGUUAGUCGAUCCUAAGAGAUGGGGAAUCCUUGUAUCAAGGGUGCACUCUGCAUGAACAUCGAAAGAGAAUUGGGUUUUUAUUCCCGAACUGAGACAUGGUGGUGGAUGACAAUGUUAGGAAAUUUAGAGAUGUCAUCGGGGGCCUGGGAAGAGUUAUCUUUCCUUUUUAACAACUUUCCCACCCUGAAAUCGAUUCAACCGGAGAUAGGGUACAACAUCUAAAAGAGCACCACACUUCUUGAGGUGUUUGGUGCCCCCUCGACGUCCAUUGUAAAUAUGGUGAACCGAGUACCAUCCAUGCCUGAUCAUACUCAUAUCUACUGUUGGUCACUAUAAUUGCUUAAUUAAU
rnacentral:ncRNA from 1 species